UAGAUAGAUCCGAUAGAUCGGAGGAAAUACAAGAAACAAGAUAUAAUUACGAGUACGCAGCUUUGGCAUUAUUUGGUUUAUGGUACUCGAGGGACAGACGAAGGGUUGUGACCAUGUUUCUAGGGCUCUGCCAACGGUUUCCCAGUUGUAUAACCGACAGCUAUCAAGCCGCGGUCGAUCUACGAUAAAACAAUGUACAAUUUUACAAUUUGAAAAACAAAAUAUUUGAAGAAAUCUACAAUGGAUAAGAUAUGACGUUAUACCGUGAAUGGAUAUCUUUUCGAAGAAUUAAUAGCCCCUAUAUAAGCAGCAAGUUGUAUCGGUGCAUCGUACAUUGAAUUUAUAUUCUCUUUGUCUUUAUCCGACUUUUUCCAAUCGAUGGCAUACAAUUUGCCCCUACGUAAAAAAUAAAUUCUAAAGUAAGCUGAUCGACAUGAAACAGAGUAAAAAAGUGAUAAAGCUUCAUUAAGUUCCAUAAAGCCAUUAUUUUUCUUGUGCAAUGCAAAAGUGGUAACCUUUACCAUGGAACAAUAAAUAAAUUACCUGAA